AGUGAACGCUGGCGGUAGGCCUAACACAUGCAAGUCGAACGGCAGCACAGUAAGAGCUUGCUCUUACGGGUGGCGAGUGGCGGACGGGUGAGGAAUACAUCGGAAUCUACUUUUUCGUGGGGGAUAACGUAGGGAAACUUACGCUAAUACCGCAUACGACCUACGGGUGAAAGCAGGGGAUCUUCGGACCUUGCGCGAUUGAAUGAGCCGAUGUCGGGUUAGCUAGUUGGCGGGGUAAAGGCCCACCAAGGCGACGAUCCGUAGCUGGUCUGAGAGGAUGAUCAGCCACACUGGAACUUAGACACGGUCCAGACUCCUACGGGAGGCAGCAGUGGGGAAUAUUGGACAAUGGGCGCAAGCCUGAUCCAGCCAUACCGCGUGGGUGAAGAAGGCCUUCGGGUUGUAAAGCCCUUUUGUUGGGAAAGAAAAGCAGCAGGUUAAUACCCCGCUGUUCUGACGGUACCCAAAGAAUAAGCACCGGCUAACUUCGUG
rnacentral:rRNA from 1 species